AUUGGUAGAAAUGAUUGACGUUCGCUUCCGCCUAUCACUCAGCUGAGGGUUGUCCUGUGACGUACCUACACGGCUGUAUUUAUAGCGUCUCUUCUACUUGGUAGCGCUGCGCCGAGGUGACAGUUUAGGAUGAAAAGGGCGACCAGUUGUUCUGGGGCAGUGGCCAAACCAUUGGACACAGGAAAGAUUGUUAAUUUCCACUACAAACCGUACAAUCUGAUUUGUCAGAUAUGCAGCAAACAACCCUGAUAACAUAAACCUCCAGUGACUAUAAUAAUAUUCAGGGAAGUUUACUGUGAGGCCUUUCCAAAUGAAAAUAAAACACCACAUGUGUUCCCAAGUAUGUGACCGAUUACUUAUA